rnacentral:lncRNA from 1 species
AGAGGAAGCAGGAGGAGGAGAUGGUGGAGAGUUGAUGGCGGAUGGCGAAGGAGAUGGAGAAUUCUUCACAGGUGCGGGAGGAGAUGCAGCCGGUGAGUGAGCGGAGGGAGAGAUCGCAGGAGAUUUGGACGGAGAUGACGAUGGUGAUUGAGCGAAGGUGGAACUCACCAACAAUGCAGCCACAAGCAUCAACACAACUUUGUAGGAAGCCAUAGUAAAAAUUUGAAGAAUGAAAAUGAAAAAUUAGGGUUUAUGAAAAAAAAAAGCAGUAAAAAGAUGAGGAAUUAGGCGAGUUGUUGUUUGUAACUGUUGUGAAGAAAGAGAUAGGGUUGGGAGGGUACUUAUAGAAUUGUUACCGCGUGAUGACGCGUUUCUAGACUGAGUCCUUCUGUGCCGUUGAUCUUUUUCAAUCAAUAUCUUUUUCUCAAAUAAGGUGUAUUUAGGAAAAUCAUAAUCAUCGACCUAUUUUGUAAAGAGAAAAAAAUAUUCACAAGAAAAAAUAUUGGUUGGUCUAUUAAAGUUUUUCUUUUAGGGAAAUAAAUUAUAAGUAAAUGGUCUCUAUUUUGUAUUAUAUUUCUAAGUGUGUGAGGGAUAUUCGAGUUUUUCUAUUUACACCCCAUGUUUUUCUGGUUACACCUAAAUUUUCUUAAAAUUUUUUUAUAAUACCAAAAUUGUCCUUUUAUAUAAAUUUUCUUAAAACCCUAAUUUUAUUCAUUGUCAGUGAGUUUUACCCUCUUUCACCCCCACAAAGCGAUCGAUCAAACAAUUUGAUGUUCAAUAUCAAUCUCUAUGAAAAUUAAAGAGUGAAUCAAAAUUUUUUUCAUCCAUACUCAAUUGGAUAUAAGUAAGUGAAUUUCUUCUUCUAUUUGCUAGUUUCAAUUUUUUUUCCUUCAACUGCACUGAUGCACUGUACGAUUACGGUUUUAAUUUACAUUGACAAGGUUAACUUAAAUUCAGUUUAAGUAGGUUCAUGUAAACAUGAACCUACUUAAACUGAGUUUACAUGAACCUACUUAAAUUGAGUUAACAUGAACCUACUUAAACUGAGUUUACAUGAACAUACUUAAACUGAGUUUACAUGAACAUACUUAAACUGAGUUUACAUGAACCUACUUAAACUAAGUUUACAAAAUCGCAGAACUGUGAAUCGCAGAACAAGGAAAACACAAAAUCAGAACUGAGAACCCAUAACAAGAAAAACACAAUCGAUUGAAGAACAACACUUGCUAACCUGAUUUGCUUCGAAUUUUCUUUGAAAUCAUGAAUGGACGUGAGAAAGUAUGGUUUUGAAAAUCUUCGCAGAACACAAUCGAUCGAUUGGAGAAUUAUGGUUUUGGAAGAAGGGUUUUGGGGUGUAACCAAAAAAGAAGGAAUAGGCUUUUUGAAAAUCAAAUUUUAUGAAAGGAUAAUCUUGUCAUUUUGGGGUGCAACCAUAAUUAACUAAGGUGCAAGUAGAAAAACUCGUGAUAUUCCGAGAAUUCACUAGGGUCAUAAUAAUAGAUCUUAAUACUAGAUAAUAGGUUUGUUUCUCUUUUACUUUCGUUUGGGUACAUAUUAUUUAUUUCUAUUUAACUUUCAUUUUGAUACUUUAAGGGUGUAAUUUGUCAAUCUUUUAUAAUUACUCAUAUUUAAUCAUUUUCAAUAAAACUAAUUAAUAUUGUAUAUUUGGAAAAUUCAAAUUUUUUUAACCAAAGUUUAUUUUUUGUUAUGUAUAAAUUUAAACUUCCAUGAAAUAUAAUUUUGUCACCUAUAAUAAUGGUUUUAUGAAGAGUGACUAACAAUUAGAAAAAUAUAGCAUAAUCAAGUUUAUUGAAAUGAGAGUGUGCACAAAAAAAAAAAUGUAAUUUCUUUGGUGGGUUAAAAUGAGAUAUAAUAAGAAAAAUAAAAAAAACUAAAAGAAUCCACUAAUUUGAUUUGCAUGUAUUAUUUUGAAAUGACACUUUUUUUGAACAAGCAAGAAAUGGCACUUGAAAAAACGGAUAGAGUAAUAUUUUUUUUUAAGGAGGAUAGAGUAAUAUUUUUGUGUCAAUAUCACUAACUGAAUCAAAUUUUUGUUGACAUUUUUUUGGUUAACAUAUAAUUUUAAAUUGGCAUCAAAUCACAUUAAACUCUAAAAAAAAAAUUAAAUUAAAUAAAAUAGGAAAAAAUAAAAGAAGAAUAAAAGGAAAUUAAAAGUAGUAAGGUUGAGUUGGCGUGAAGAGGCAGCACGCUGGCCGCUGGGAGAGGGAAUGAAUGUGCAAACCCAACCUGGUAAAGUUGUCCUUGAAUAUUUCCCAAAAAAAUAACUUGUCUUUGAAUAAUAGAGGAGAGAUGGAUUUUAUUUUAUUUUUUUGACAAAGUGUUUUUAGAGGUUGUUGACGAAAUUAUGGAUAGUUGUGAUUCUGAUUGUGUUUUUUUAAACAUCAGCUAUUUGGUAUAAGAGAUGCUAAUUUAGGGAUCAUUUCAAACAACAACUAGUGAUGUUAAAUUGAAGUUCCUGUAAUUUUGUGGGGACUGAUCCAGGUGGACCACUAAUCCAACACAAGAAUUGUUAGCAACUAAAAAUUCGAACAUUAGACUUAAAUAAAAUUAUAAUUUAAGGUUUCAAGCCUUAACGAUUAUAAGAGGUGAAAAUAUAUACUAAAAUAAGUUAAGAAAAUGCUAACAAGUAUUCUACAGACAUUUGAUAAGAAAUCCAAAAAAAAUAUUAUCUUAGAAAUAGUGCAUUAAUACUUCUAAACUCUGGAAAUUUUUAUUUUUUAGUUGAAUUCUUAAAAUUUAAGUGUGACUUGUAAAAGAAGAAAAAGAGAUACAAAACUCUCAAGAAAAAGGUCCCCAAAUCAUCAACAUGAAGCAAGUCAACAAGUCCACACAGAAAAGCAAGGACAAAGAUGUUGAAUUGGUCAUAAGCACUAAGCUUAGGCAUUAAAUCAUCAUAAUGAUUGCCUUAUCGUAGCGUGUAGAAGACUCUGAAAAGCGAAUUUUGGUGAAGCAAAUUCUUAAUGUCUUGAAUAAGCACAACAUACUUAUGGAACUUGUUGCUGGGAGUUCCAAGUUGACAUAUUUGUCAACCGACGAACCAUCAAGUAAGGAAGGAUUAUAAAAGCAUAAUAUUUAUUGCACAUCCGUUGUAGUCUAGUUGGUCAGGAUACUCGGCUCUCACCCGAGAGACCCGGGUUCAAGUCCCGGCAACGGAAUGUUUUUUGUUUCAUUAAUUUUUUUCCUGUUCUCUUUCGUAUAUAUUUUUUUUUUUGAAGAGGUUCUCUUUCAUAUUUAUUUAUGACGCGUAGUGUAGCACAGUGGCGGAGCCAGAAAUUACAUAGAGCCUGGGCGAAAAAUUUAUCGCAAAUUCACAUGUGACAUAAUAUAUAUAUAUAUAAAUUCCUUCCUUAAAAAAAAAGGAUAAAUAGUCAUAUAUAAAAAUAAAAAAGGAUCGUCAUAUUAAGUUGUUUGAAGGAUUUAUCGGCACUGGCGGAUCUUGAGUUAUUUUCUCGGGGUACCAAAAUUCUAUGAAAUAUAUAUUAAGCUGUUUGAAAUAUUAAUCAAAAAUGUUAACUGCUGUAGUGGUUUAAUUUACAUGAGUAUGGCCCAAAGGUGUGUGUUCGAUUCUCUCCAUGGAACUUUUUUGACAAAAAAGUAAAUAUAUACAUAAAUAUAAAAAAGGGAGAAGAAGGAAGAAUCAAACCCGCAACAUCUAAGAGAAAUAGCAACUACUUUUCCACUGCGCUAGCUGGAAAAUAUGUAAAUAAAAUGUCUGAUAUAAUAUAUAUAGAAACAUUACGGUACCAUGGGUUCUAAGGAAGAUCCGCCAUUAAUUAUCGAUCGAGCCCGGGGUCGCCGGGCGGUGAAACCGCUCCUGGUGUAGCAUCAUUCUCGUCACUGUCUUGGUCUUUGGAUAGACAACAAUGUCAUCUGUGUCGAAAACUAUACCAACCUCUUCACCUUAUCACACUCAUAAAACCACUUCAAAUUACACAAAAAAAAAAUCUUAUAACCGCUUCAUCUUCUUCAAACAACCUCGUAGAACAUGUCUUCUACAUUCCACUGUCUGUGUCUCUCCAUCUUUCACCAACACCACUCACAGCGUAACCCAAAACCAAAAUGCAAAAAUUAACAAAUUCUGUGAAAUGGGUGAUCUUAGAAAUGCUAUUGAAUUACUCACAAAGUCAAAAGGCUAUGAACUUGGGUUGAAUAGUUACUGUUCCGUUUUGCAGCUUUGUGCUGAGAAGAAAUCUUUGGAAGAUGGAAAAAGGGUUCAUUCUGUUAUUAUUUGCUAAUGGAAUUUCAAUUGAUGAGGCUUUAGGAGCUAAACUAGUGUUUAUGUAUGUGAAUUGCGGUGAUUUGGUUCAAGGGAAAAAAAUAUUUGAUGAGAUUAUGAAUGAUAAGGUUUUUCUUUGGAAUCUUUUGAUGUCUGAAUAUGCAAAGAUUGGUAAUUUUAGAGAAAGUGUGAGUCUUUUUAAGAAAAUGCAGAAGUUGGGAAUUGUUGGGAAUUGUUAUACAUUUACUUGUGUUUAGAAGUGUUUUGCUGCAUUGGGAAAAGUAAAGGAGUGUAAAAGGGUUCAUGGGUAUGUUUUGAAAUUAGGAUUUGGGUCUAAUACUGCUGUUGUUAACUCUUUGAUUGCUGCUUAUUUCAAAUUUGGUGGAGUUGAGAGUGCACAUAGAAUAAUAAUUGAAUGAAUGAAUUGUCGUCACACGGACCGAAACAGAGCAACAACAAAAAUGAGGUAAAGAGUUAACGAUCCAUGUAAAUUCCUGAUUAAGAAAACAAAAAAAACUCUUCGUAAUUUCUCUACAUCAUCAAAGCUGCAGCAAAAACAACAGCAGCAGCAGAUACGGCAAAGGUGAAUCUGUUCAAUGCGGCGAUGGAGUUAUCAGAAGGUGAAGGUGCUUCAGAAGGAGGAGUAGAGAUGGAUGAUGGAGUAACAGCAGGAGCGAGAGAGUUAGAGGAAGCAGGUGGAGAGUUGACGGCGGAUGCUAAAGGAGAUGGAGACGUCUUCACAGGUACGGGAGGAGAUGCCACCGGUGAGUCAGCGGAGGGAGAGAUCGCAGGUGUGGCAACGGGUGAUAUGGUUGGAGAUGAUGAAGGAGAUUGAGCAAUGGUGGAACUAACAAAUAGUGUAGCCACAAGCAUCAACACAACUUUAUAGGAAGCCAUUGUUGAAAAUUGAAGAAGGAGAAUGAAAUUUUAGGAUUUAUAAGAAGUUUUGAAGUAGUGAGUAGAAGAAUUGAGAGAGUAGAUUGUUUGUGACUGUUCUGGAAAAGUGAUUAGGCAUGGAAGGGUAUUUAAAGAAGCUUAACCGCGUGAAUACGCGUUUCUACGCUAAGUCUUAUACGACGCGGUGAUUUUUUUUAUCCGUUACAAUUGUUUUUUCUAGGGGGAUGAAUUGCUGUAUCUUUUUUUUGUUUUUGAGAUUAUAUGAAAUUGUUGUAUGGAUGCAUAAAUAUGCAAGGUCCGGAGAUCAAACCUCGACCACCACCAAAAAAUGAAAUAAUUCUUAAUCAUCGUCGUAUGGAGCUGUAAUAUUGGUAUAUCAUUAUGUAUCAAAUCGGUAAUACAUAACAAUAUAAAGACAUGAGAGCUAACUCGAGACGUGGUUAUUUGAAGUAAAACAUGAGCGGCCUUAUUUGUCUGUCUUAAAUAAACUCGACACGAGAGCUUUUCAAAAAAAUAAAUUACAAUAGUGUAUACAAACCCGCAUAACAACCUCAAAUUCUAUGAUAUCUUUGUCGUCUCUCUCAAAGUAGUCAACAACUUUUUACAAAACAACCUUGAAGUCAACAUUCGCUCAACGUAGAUCAUUGAUCUACAUAAUAAUAACAUGAUACAGUCCUAGUGCCUCUUCUACUUCCACUCAACAUACAAGCACGAACAUCGUCACAAUACACAAACCAAUAUCUACUCUAUUACGGGAGACCGAGAAAGACGAGUCAACAUUGCAUUUAAACCUCCUAAAUGUCGGAUGUUUCCACCCUUACAACGAAGAUGAUACAAGGUGUUAUUGCAUCCCUUGCGCAUGAAUGGUUGAGGUGAACAUAACAUACAACAUUAUUCCCUUGCUUCUAAUUUGCCAACCUCCAGUGGUCGAGCAUAUGUACUGCUCGCUCUAAAAUUUGGUUGCUCGACUCCACCACAUGUUGCCAAAGCCUCAUGGUUCGGUUUUUCUAAAUGCUCCAUAAUAUUAUAACAAGGAGCUCCACUUGAUUUUCACUUGGACGCAGCAAUAGAGUGAAUAAAAUUUCAUCUGUUAUUAAGCAAAAUGAUUAAAGCAAGGUGGCAACUAGGCUACCCAUGAAAGAAUGAUGGAUAAUUUACCCCAACCAAUACACAUUAGCCACAUAAGCACAUAUUCAUGAACUAUCUUGACCCCACAAAUAAAUUGCUCAUUUUCAUUGGUUGGUGGAUAAAUUACCCACCAUUCUUCAAAGGUAAUUUAGAAAAAACCUUAAAGCAAUGAUAAGAAGGGCCUCAUGAGUUCGUACAAUAGUACCCAGCAGGUGAUAUUGUAUGCUAUAUCUUGUAUCUUCAGCGAUGCAUAUCUUCAAUUUCAUGAUGUAGCUUCUUAGAUCUCCAUUACAAUUCCUCACAUUGUUCCAUCAAACAUCUAAAACUAACAUUACUAGUUCAAAAUGAUUAAAUAACAUUAAAAAUUAGUUAAAACCAUAAAUUUUAAAUAGUCCGAUUGAAUGCUUUAGACCAUAGAUUCACUCAAUUCCCCAUUCAUUAUGUUCAUUAUGGGGACAAAGGCAACAUGAUAACCUACAAAAUUGCCGGUUAUCAGUGUUAUUAUUUGUUUGAAUUCACAACGAUUUUCAUACUAAACAUUCAUAGUUUCUUUAUAGGCCACCUUCCUUACUAGUAAGCCGAGCUUGAUCACAUCAUUUAAAACGGGAAAAGAAAUUUGAGUGUUAAAGUAAUACUAGUAGGCAUGGAAGAGAAUAUACAUCACUAAAGAAAUCUAUAACAUGACUUUGCAGAUGAAUCUCAUCAUAGAUUUACUUCUUGUUAUGAUUAUUGAAUUCGUAUCGCCAAGAUCAAUCGAUAUGCUACGAGCUUGUAAACCUCCUCAUAACGAGUAAUAUUGUUAUACUUUUUUCAAAGAUGGUCUCUAAGUAGGUAGAGUCUCUCAUUUGAAGAAGAAAGAAACGUAAUAUCAUAUACACAUGGAAUAUUUAAAAAGUAGCUAUUUUCUUAAUUUUUCCAUAAUGAAAUUUACUUUAUUUGAUAACUUGGAUUAAAAUGUUCAUUCAGGAGAGGCAGAGAUUGUGAUUGCAAGCAGCAUUGGUGAAAGUGCAUCAAAACAUGUUGUUCAUGGUGCAUAACUAACAGUAGAAUUCACACACAAGGGGUACUGCAAUUUUAUCAUUACCAUUAACAUUUGCCACUAAUUUUGGUUCUUUGACACUUCACCAAUUCUUCAAGUGAUAUGUUAUUAGUUUUUGACAUUGUUGUUAAAAUCCCUACUUAAAUCCUAAAAUUUAGUUACGACUUUUUUCACCUUCAACGACUCAAAUCCAUAGUAGAACCCAAAAUAGGCAUAAUUCAUCGAUUUUGAUUGCGAUUUUACGAUUUCUUAUAAAUUAAGUCAUUUAUGACUCUAUACCAUUUAUAUCAUAUAUUUAGUAUUAUUAUAUUUUGAUUGUGAUUUUACGAUUUCUUUAUAUCGAUUCUACAAAAGUAGUUGAGUAAAAUCCUUCGAUUUUGAUUGCGAUUUUACGAUUGUCGAUUUAGCUCUUCUCUUUCGUCCUGAAGCAAAACUCUAAUUUUGACAACCUUAAUUUUUGGUUUCUUCUGGUCAUUGAAACACACACAAGUUGAAAAAGUCACUAACAACACUCAGUAUUUAGAAUCAUUCGAACUUUAACCAGUAAUUGACAAGAUUGUGAAUAAAGAAAUAUCAAAUAACUGAUUCCAAAAUAAAAUUACCUUUGUUGUGUGUCAUCGUUUGUUUGUAUUACUAUUGAAAUAUGAUGCACAUUUCUAGAUAUUUGUAGAAUACAUUAGCAAUUUAUAUAAUGAUGAUCAUGUCUAGAUUUUUUUAUAGCUUAGUAGUUCGUAGAAAAAACCUAUUCUACAUUUUUCAAAAUAGUUUUGUAGAAGUUCACGAAAGUUCUAGAAUGUAGUAUCUAGAAUAUGCCUACUAUAAAUAGACAAACUAAUGUACAAUGGUAUUCAAGGCGGAGAUGCAAUAACAAUAAUUUUGAGGGCCACCACCAGACUAAAUAUCCCAUCAUAUAAUAAGUUGAUUGCUAGUGUGUUGCCUUUUAUCUUAUGUUACUAACCCACUACUAAAUAUCCCUAACAAUUUAUAAAUAGACAAACUUAUGUACAUUUGUAUUUUGAGCUGCAAUAACGAUAAUAUUGAGGCUUCACCACACCGUAUACCUCCUCAUACAUUAAGCUAAUCACUAGUAUCUUGCCUCUUAAGUCUUGACCCAUAUUAAUUGCUAAACUUAUGUACAUUUCGUAUACUAUAUUUUUCUAACAAUUAAGCAUUAGUGUUUUCUAACAAUUAUGGUGCUUGUGCUGUUUUUUUUUUUAAAUCAGGUAUCCUCCGCGCGCAACUGCGGAGACUAAGCUAGUAGAGACCUGUUCCAUCUUAUCUAAGCGCUCUUGGGUAUGCGUGUGCUAUUAUGUACGAAAGAAAUUAACAAAAAAACAAAAAACAAAAAAUUAUGUUCCUUGCUUAGUUUUCAAUUCUGGUUCCCUUCAAAUACAUACACUAAUUUAAAUAUUUUUUUGCACAAGUACACUAAUUCAAAUAUUAAUUUAUCCCUAAUAAAAGAAAACCGAGGCAGAUUUUUUUACGGCCACCGUGUGAGAAAGGGAAUCAAACAAUAGUAUAACCAAGAUAAGACCAGAAAAUAAUUGCAAGCAAAUAAAAAGAGUUGAAAAGCUUAAAAAGAGUUGACUAUCCAUGUAAAUACAUGAUUAAAAAAGAACAAAAUACAUAAAAUAAAAUAAAAACUCAAUGUAACUCUCUACAUCAAUAUCAAAGCCGCAAUAAAAACGACAGCAGCAGCAUAUCCGGCAACGUUGAAUCCAUUCAUAGUGGCACCGUUUGUGGGCGUUGAUGGUGCUUUAGUUGGAGGAGUAGAGAUCGACGAUGGUGCUUUAGUUGGAGGAGUAGAGAUUGACGAUGGAGUAAUAGCAGGAGCGGCAGCAGGGGAGGCGUGAGGAGGAGGAGAUGGUGGAGAGUUGAUGGCGGACGGUGAAGGAGAAGGACUGCUCGUUACAGGUACGGGAGAAGAUGCCACCGGUGAGUUAGCGCUGGUGGAGGGAGCAAUCGCAGGUGAUGGUGCUUGAGAUGGAGGAGUUGAGAUCGACAAUGGAGUAACUGCAGGAGCGGCAACAGGAGAAGCAGGAGAACCAAAGGAAGCAGGAGGAGGAGAUGUUGGAUAGUUAACUGCGAACGGUGAAGGAGAUGGAGCGUUCAUCAAAGGAACGGGAGAAGAUACCGCCGGUGAGAUAGCCAAGGGAGAUCCCGCAGGAGAUGGAGUGGCAACAGGAGAUGAUGAUAGAGAUCGUGCAAAGGUAGAACUAACCAAUAGUGAGGCCACAAGCAUCAACACAACCAUGUAGGAAGCCAUAGUAGAAAUUUGAUGAAGGACGAUGAAGUUUCUGAAGCAGCGUUGAGCGAGUAGGAUUAGGGUUUGGAACUGUGGUGAAAAAGGACAAGGGUUGAAGGAUAUAUUUAUAGAAGCCUAACCGCGUAAAUAUGCUUUUUCAUAGGGUAAGUUGUUUUUUGUGAGGGAUCAUAGGGUGAGUUGUUACUGACUGGUUGUUGAUCUUUUUUAUUAUUAUCUUUUUAUGUUUUUUGGUCAAGAUUAUUGAUUUAUUUUUUGUCGAAUAGUCUAGUUGUUGCAGCUCACAUAAUAUAAAUGUAGAGAAAUGGGGUGUCAGGGUUCGAACUUCUGCCCCUGCAUAAAUUAUUCUUAUUUUAAUAUAAUUUAAUUUAUUUUCAAUUGAUAAUUUAAAUAAUAUUAUAAAAAGGAUAAAUUAGUUUAAAGGGUAAAAAUAGAAGAAAAAAGUCUAGCUCAAAAUGGUGUAUGCCAAUUAUAUAGUGUUAUUUUUUGUUUGUAAGAGUCUUUUAUAUAGUGUUAUACAUAGAUGUUUGUGGCUUACCAAUUGUAACAAACUACGUUAUUUUUAACCAACAAUAUAACAAAUAUAAUAUUAUAAUUUGAUAAAAAAAUAUUAUAUAAAUUCUUCACUUUUUCAGUAACACCAACAAUAUAAAAUAUUUAUAAACAAAUUCAUUUAAGAGUAUAAUUCUAAUUAUAACAAACUCUAUAUGUUUACUUGUCAAAAAAAGAAACUCUAUAUGUUUAUACUUUACCAACAAUAUAAUAAAUAUAUCCAAUCUUAUUAAUCUCCAAUUUACGAGCCCAUUUGUUACAAUUUUAAAAAAAUCAUUUUUUAUAAAAAAUAAUAAUAAUCACUAAUAUCCUUCCAAAAUAAUAGAAUUUAGAAAAAAAACAACUUCAAAGUUUUUUUUUUUAGGGAAAAAUUCAAAGUUGUUAUGUAGCUUAUGAGAAAAUAUAUUUUUUCCUUGAAAGAAAAGAUUUUUUUAUUUUUUUUUUUACCAAGCAAAAAUGUAAUAUAUUAACAUUGACAAAGUAGUCUCCUUAGCACAAGGCGUACCAAAAAAAUCACUAGAUAGAACUAAUUUUACAUCAAAAAAUAUUUUUUAUAUAGUUGUAUUCAAACAUACUGAAUUUUUUUCUUCUUAAGUGAUUUUUAUUUUGGUAAAUAAACGCAAAAUAGAUUCUGAUUUUUUAUAAAAUCUCUAAAAAUAAUCUCUAAAACUCAAAAUAAUUGUAAUUUUAAUUUGUAACAUACAUACCUUAUACCAAUUAAUCAACAUUGUGGUCUAUUUGGUUGGUUGCAACUAGGGAUGAAAAUAGGUCAGGUCGGUCUACGGCCUAACCUACGACAAGUCAAACCAUACUUUUUUCUUAAAUAGAGAUUGCAUAGACUUUUUUAGAAGCCUGAUUAAAUUAAAAGGUCAGACCACAUGUCAUUCAAAAAGCCCUUAAGCUUGUUAGACCGAUCUAUUUAAGUAAACAUGAAUAGUAUUAUUUAUUAUUAUAUUAUAUUUUUCACUUUGAAUUAAAAUAUAAAUUUGUUAUCUUUUUUCAAUAAUUUAAGCUUAUUAUAUACAUUAGUCUUUUGCAUAUAUAUAAAGGUAUUAUUAUAAACUAGAAUUGAAGUAAGAUACAAUUUAUUGUGAAAUGCCUUAAAACCUCAUGUUGAUUAUCAAAGAAGAGUUUAACCUAAUUGAUCUAUUUGUUCACUAGUUUAUUUAAACUUGCAUCACAUUGCUUAUUUAAAAAUGUUCAUAAGAUAUAGGCUUUUAAACAGGUUAUCAGGUCGUAUCAGGUUUUCAUAAGGUCAGGCUCAGGCCUAAAAUGUAAGCCUUUUACUAGCCGCAAGCCAAGCUUAUAGGCUUUAAAAAAAAUUGGUAGGUUAGACCUAGGCCUUGCAAAGUCUAGCUCGGUCUAGCCUUUCUAGGUACAACAUAUGGAAAUAGGAAAAUAAGCCAUGCUCAAUCAAUUACAAUAAUUAAUUUUCAUAAAAAUAAAAAUAAAAUAAAAUAAAAAAAAGACUAAGGAUCUUUGAGGGAGAGUGUACUAGCUCUAAUGAAAGAAAUGACCAAACAAAACUAAAAUUAAUUUUCCUUUUGUUUGUUCGAUUUUCAAUUCUGGUUUCCUUCAAUUGAUCUGAUUUGUCCAUCAUAAUCAGAAAAACAUUGACAGAGUAUGAACGAAGGUGAUGAUGGCAAUAAUAAUCGAAUAUAAAAAUAAUUGCAAGCAAAUAGCAUAAAUAGAUUUUUUUUUUUUUUUUUUGAAACAAGCAUAAAUAGAUUCAUGUAAAUUCAUAAAAAAUAACUGCAAGCAAAUAGCAUAAAUAGAUUCAUGUAAAUUCAUAAAAUAAAAAUAAAAAAUAAAAUAAAAUAAAAAACACAACAAUAAGAGUCAGGAAUAUGUAAAUUUGUGAUUACAAAAAAGUCAAAAAAAGAAACAUCUCAGCGUCUACCCUAACAAAAAAAACUCAGCCAAGUCUAUAUCAUCAAAACAGCAGCGAAAACCACAACAGCAGCAGAUCCGGCAACAGUGAAUCUGUUGAAAGCGGCGCCGUUUGUGGAUGUUGAUGGUGAUUUAGAUGGAGGGGUAGAGAUAGACGUUGGAGUAAUAGCAGGAGGAGGAGAUGGUGGAGAGUUGUUGGUGGACGGUGAUGGAGAAGGAAUGCUCUUCGCAGGCACGGGAGCAGAUGCCGCCGUUGAGUUAGCGGAGGGAGAAAUCGCUGGUGAUGGUGCUUGAGAUGGAGGAGUAGAGAUCGACGAUGGAGUCACAGCAGGAGCGGCAACGGGAGAAGCAGCGGCAGCUGGAGAACCAGGAGCGGCAGCGGGAGGAGCAGAUGCUGGUGAGUUGAUGGCGAACGGUGAAGGAGAUGAAGCACCAGGAAGAGGAGCAGAUGCCACUGGUGAGUUAGCGGAGGGAGAAAUUAUUGGUGAUGGAAACGGAGAAAACAUGGGCGAUGAUGAUGGUGGUGAUCGAGCAACUGUGGAAUCCAGCAGCAGUGCAACCAAAAGCAUCAGCACAACGGUGUAGGAAGCCAUAGUAGAAAGAUGAAGAAGGAGAAUGGGAAUAUUAGGGUUUGAAGCAGUGAUAUUGUGUUGUGAAGAAAAUAUUAGGGCUGCAAAGGUUAUUUAUAUAAGCUUAAACGCUUCUUCCCGUUUCUAGGUUAAGUCGUUAUGACUUAUGAGUCGGUGAUUUUUUUUUUUGUUUUUUUGAAUAAUACAAUUUUUUUUUACAAUUUUUUUUAAAUUACUGUUGUAUUUAUCUUUUUCUUUUUGAUCAAAAUAAAGUUAACUAUCAUUAAUCAACUAAUGUGCAAUACAAGAAGGAUAAGAGUUAAAAAUGCGGUGACUAGCCCAAGAACAGACCGCCCUAGCUAAAGUAUGAGCAACCAUGUUCGAUUGUCUCCUAACAAACUUCACCUCGAAGUUGGAAUGUAAAGAUAACUGAUAAAUAAUACUAGAAACAAUAGCAUAGAAUUCUGAAUCACCAUGGCCCAGAGACGAAAGAGCUUGCACUAAAGUAGCAGAGUCAGACUCGAAGACAACCCGGUCCCAUCUGUUCACAUAAGCAAAGUGAAUAGCAUCGAGUAAGGCUACUGCCUCCCCCUCCAAAACUGUCAUAUUUGCCCGUUUCCAUUUCGUUUGUGCCCGAAUAAAUUUCCCUCGGGAGUCUCUAACACAACAUGCAGAGGAUGUAAGACGAUUACGGUCAUGGAACGCGGCAUCCACAUUGCACUUCAACCAUGUCUCGCUCGGUUUCUCCCAAACUAAGUUGUUACGUACCUUGCACCCUAUUCCGGUCAUGUUGCACAACCGGUAGUGAGGGAUGUUUAUGAACCUCAUGCCAUUGCUGCCAUGCAUCCAGAGCUGUCCUUCCAAUGCUUGUUGAAGGUAUAAUGAGCGUCCUUCCAAAUGACAUCAUUACAUGCAGCCCAAAUUUUCCAAAGAAGUAAAGCCACACGACCAGCAAUGUCUCGGCUUUCUGAACAACAUAUGUCAAAAACAAAAUUUGUCAAACUACUCUCAGUUCCAACUCGCGUUUGCAACACAGUCGAAAGUCCUGUCCAAUACCAACUUUCACUCGCCACCGUACAGCCCACAAAAGCAUGCCAAUCAUCCUCAACAUCCGUAUCACACCAGGGGCAGUUCAAUGUGUAACAACUCCAUCAUAGCUAGUUUGUCCCGACGACUCCCAUAUCUAACGACGAUGAGAAAUUGAAUCUCAUCACCGUCUUCAACGGGUUUGGGUAUCCAUACAGUGAAUCAUUUUUUUGAAUAAAAAAUUCAAGUUUUUUCCAGUCCCGGGAAUAAUGUUAUAAUGUAUUAUGCAGUAAUAUGCUCACUUUAACAUUUUUUUAUCGAAUAAUUUGGUUGCUCUUAUAAAUAUCAAUGGCAGGUUUUAUAACAUGACAAAUAUCAAUGAGUAAUAAAGUAAUUUCUACAUUCAUGAUAGGUUUGUGUAUGAGUUCGAGAUGAGUACAUAUAUCUUUGUUAUUAGUCUCGUACCCGUGUUUUAAAAUCGAGGAAAAUCCAAACACAUACCCAAACUAGUCAAAACGGAGAAACACAUCAAAUCGAGGUGGGUUCAGCCAAAUAACCGUGAAUACCGGUUUUACUAUCAUGCCUAAAUAAAAUGGAUAUAUAUUCUAACAAAUUAUACUGUCAAAACAUAAAAUAGAAACAGAAAGUGUACUAAAAAAGAAUUAAAAAGGAGCAUAUAGUGUAAUAGUUAGAGCAUCCACAAAGGAGAUCCUCAACUCCGAGCUCUUAAAUAGGUCCCACGGACGCAUCACUUUUUAAUAAUUUUUUAAUAAUAGCAUUUAAUAGGUACUCAACCACUCCAAUGGAGAUCCUUUAACAAAAGGUCUAAUANGGUCCCACAAAUAUUAUUUAAUUGCCAUGAAAAUUAUUAUUUUAAUAAAAAAUGAUGUGGAUCCAUUUAAGAAUGGGGCUUAAUAGUUAGACCUUGAAUCUUUUAAGACCCCCAAGUUUUUUUUCCCACAAUAAGGGUACCUAUUAGGUACCAGAUCUUAAAUGGUGAAGACCUCACCAUUGUGGAUGCUCUUAGUAAUCCUCAGUAAAAAAUAAAAUAAAAAGUAAAUCCUUCCCUCAAAUAAAAUAUCAAUUAAUUAGCAAUCCUGGUUGUAUCCGGAGUAAAUAAAAUAUUCAAUCAGAAAACGCAUAUGACCAUUACAAAAAAAAAAAAAGGAAAAGAAAUUUGAACUAGAAAGAUGAAAUUAAAUAUAUUAAUAUAAAACGCAUAUGACUGUUACAAAAAAUAAAAGGAAAAAAAUUUGAACUAGAAAAAGGAAAUACAAUAUACUAUUCGGGUAAUAUUUUAUUAUUUAUUUAUAAAAUUGUGACAACGUCUUCGUGAGCUUAACUCAAUUGACAUGAAUAAUGCAAAAAAAAAAACAAAACUAUCGUAACAUUUUCAGAACAUUCUUUGACCUCACAAAUACGAGACAGUUGAAUGUCAACCCAAUACAACCAUUAAAGUGAUCUUGGUACAAGAAUAUGGUAUUAAAAGAAAUCACUAAGUCACAAGGAUGAAUUCCUUAAAAAAAAAAAAAGUCACAAGGAUGAAUGAAGAUUAAAUGAAAACUUUAAAUAUGUUCAUAAAAUGAAUUCUAUAAAAAGAGAGUUAAGAUCUUAUCCAUUUGUCAUUUCCAUCUCUAUCAUUUGGAGAGAUAAUCUUUAUCAUUUGAAGAGAUAAAGAUACAAAAAUAGAUGAAUUCAUCAAAAUAUACAAAAGGAACGGUUUCUUUUUUUGAAAUAUACAAAAGGAACCUAUUGAAUGACAUAUAACAUAUAAAAAGAAUAUAUUUAAUGGUUGACUUAAAUAUGUAUUUGAACCUUGCAAUUAGGGGUCGUUUAAAAAUUGGUCCCUGUAAUCGCUAAUCCUGGCAAUUUACCCUUGCAUUGUUUAAUCAUUUAAAAUUUCGUCGCUCUCCCCACUUAAUCACUGCCGAGCCACAUGAAAUUCUAAUUUUACCCCUGGGUUUCCAAUUCUUUCUUCAUUAUUUUGUCCUCUUCUUAAGGGCAAAAUUGGAAUUUCAUGUGUGGCAGUGAUUGCCACGUCAUCAAAUUAGUGACGUGGCAAUGAUUAAAUUGGUCAAAGGACGAAAUUUAAAAUGAUUAAUGAUUGCAAGACUAGUUUGCAAGGAUUAGCGAUUACAGGGACCAAUUUUUAAACGACCCCUAAUUGCAAGGAUCAAAUACAUAUUUAAUAUUGGCUCCACCAAAAUGUGAGUAACACUAACAAGCUUGGACAUAUGAGAAGAUGACAACACAUGUGUGAGAGAGAGAGAGAGUUUGAGGUACCACAAGUAUUAAAAAGCUAAUGACAAAAGUGUUCCUAUUACAUGAUACUAAAAGACAAAGUGUGUCUUUAAUACAACUCAACUUGAUUUGUUUUCUGCCAAAUCUCCACAAAAAUAUGCAUGGUACUGUUCAUAAAAUAUAUGAGAUGACAUCACAAAAACGCAUAUGUUUAUUAGUUGUCCUUACCUUAAAAAAGAAAAAUGAUAUCGGUAGAACUACUUUGUGACAACUUUCUCUCACAUACUCAGAUUAUAUUCUUAUUCUCUCUUUUCUUUUUUUUCUCUCCAUUAUUUUUGAGCAAUAAAAAUAGAGAAAAAAGAGGUUAUCUCAAAAGUUGUUUCAAAUAGAUGUUCAAAUAUCAUUACUCCUAAAAAAAAAUGUUUAUUAGGUCCUAUAUACAUCAGCUGAGAACGUUAUCAACACUGCAAGAACAUUUUGACAAAAGGCUUCAACAAGAGUGAAGUACUCUAAUGUGUUGGUAACUUUUCCUUCCCACCUUUGCCUCUAGAAACUCCUGUUAUUUACCACAUCAAGGAUGGUCCUCAUCUAUAAAUGUUCAACAAGGACAAAGAGCAUAAGUCUUGAGCAUAAUCAUACUCUCUUGAUAUUUGUCAAUCAUCAAGAAACAUCAAAGACUCCUUUGUUUUUAUCAUCUACAUCAUUCAAGCUCAUGCAUAGAAAUCAAACAUCUUUAAAGGCAGCAACUUAUUUUACACUAGUUUUUUAAGUGAGUAAGAAACAUGUCAAAACAUUCAUCAAUUUUAAAAUUGCUCUAGUUACUCAUUGAAAGCGUAAUUAAGAAGUGUAAAGGCAAGGUUGCCAAAUCAAGGUUGUAAAGUCGAAGUGGUUAAAAGGAAAUUGAGUGUAAAGAUCCUAGGGUGAUCUAAGAAAAUGCAUAGAGAUAGUAUUAAAUCUUAAGUGCAUGGUGGAAAAUAUCACAAUAUUGUGUGGACUAAAGUAGCCUACAUUGGAUAAACCAAUAUAACUUUAUGUGUGUGAUUCUCUAAUUAACUCGCCUCAUUUAAAUUUCCAAUUUACACUUGCUAUAGUUAUUAAAUGUUGUUUCUUACUAAGUAAGUAAUCAAAUAAAAGUUAUCAGUUUAGAAGUUUUAUUGCAAAUUUUUUGAAUGGAUCACAAUCCAAAAUCCCAUUUUACUUCAGAAAGAAUCACGUUCACAACUUAUGUAAUGAAGGAUAUGAGAUCUUAGUGCUCUUUAAAAUGGUACACAUUGGAUAGGAGGAUCAAAUUAUACAUAUCAUCGAAUUCAAAUACACAAAAGUAAAAGAAGCAUUGAAAAGGAUGAGUAAUGAUUAGGAAGUUGGACCAAAUAACAUAUCUAUUGAACUAUGAAAAAGUCUUGACGAUAAAAGCAAGGGGUGGCUCACCAAAUAUUUUAACAAAAUUAUGAGGUUAAAGAAAAUGUUAGACGAGUAGAGUAUAACAACUUAAUUUAAUUCCAAUCUAUAAGAGCAAUGGAGGAUAUAUAAAAUUGUACAACUUAUAGAGAGGCCAAACUUAUGAGUCACACCAUGAAGUUAUGGAAAAGAAUGAUUGAGAGAAGAAAGAAACUCAAUUUAGUAAUAACUAAUUUGUAUUUACGUCUGGAAGCUUAAGGUCCACCAUAUAUGGAACCAAUCUACUUAAUUACUAUGAUGAGUGAUGGAGCAAUAUAUGAUCAAUUAAAAAGACUUGCGCUUAAUUUUCACUAAUUUAGAGAAGAAUGAUGGUACAACGCCUAGAGAUAUUUUAAGGAAAGCCCUAAAGACGAAAGGGGGUUAGGUUGCUUAAUCUAAGAAGUCAAAUAUAUGUACAAGGGGUUCUUGACCAGCGAGAGAACGUAUAUAAGUUGGGGCCACUAACAAUUUUCCUAAAAGAAUAGCAUUUCACUAAGGAUGAAAUCAAAGUCAUUAUAUUUUUACUUAAGUUUUUUAUGUACUUAUGAUACACAUCCAAGAGUUAGCGCCGAGAUGUAUACUUUUUAUUGAUGAUAUAAUCUUACUUCGAGAGUUGGUGGAGAAAGUAAAUGAGAUUGGAGACAAGCCUUAGAAGUGUAUGACUUUCCCCUCAGUAGAAGUAAGACAAAAUAUAUAUGCAAUGUAGAUUUAGCAAAAGGCCAAUCAUUCCUAGCAUAGAGAUGAAAGAAGAACAUAUGAUACCAUAAGUUACAUGAUUUAGAUAUCUUGGAUCCACCAUAUAAAACAAAGGAUAAUUAUAAGUAGAUGUAAACCAUCGAAUUCAAGGUGGAUGGUUAAUUUAUCGAUUAACUAUAUCAUAGUCAAUGGUGUAUUGAACAGGGUGUUGGGAUGAAAAGAACCAAAAUUAAAUAAAUUAAGUGCAGUAGAUGUGAAGAUGUCGACUUUCACUAUUAGAAAAAUCAGAAAUGGUUCCCCGUGAGCUUAACUCAGUUGGUAGGGAUAUUGCAUAUUUUAUGCAGGAGCCGGGGUUCGAACAUCGGACACUCCACUUCUCCACAAUUAAAUUGUGUGAACUCUAGCCACUAGACUACUUGACAAAAAAAAAUUGGAAAUGGAGAGGGACCAAUUUCAUCGUUAUAUUGCGAAAUUUCCAUCUCUACAUACUUUAGAAACAAAUUUGGGGACGAAACUGAAUAUGUCUUAGAGACGUAUUGUCUUACCACACAUACUUUACAGACAUAUUGCCUUACCAAAGGAACACUUAAAUUUUGUAAACAUCUAGGGUUGAAAAUAUGCAAACCAGUCGGCAAUUCUUUAACAAUGCAAAAAGGUAGCUACAUUCAAGGCCUCAACCUUAAAAAGGUAACUUGAUGCUAAUUUUUUUUUCAACUUGUACUUCAUUGAAUUAAAGGAUGAUGAGGUUCAACAACAGGAAGCUCCAACUUCUACAAUUUUCACGUUUUCUUCUUGGUUUGAACUAACAUCCCUCAUUAUUGCCAUGAUGAGAGGUUGCACCUACUAAUUUAAAUUAACCAAGAAAACAAUUUGACCAUUCCUUGACAAGUGAUAUUUUGCAGUGGCUUACCCCCUUCAACAUUGGAAGUUUCCAAUGCUUCUUAAGGAAGUGACAUACUUCCACUAAGGCUUGAAAUUGUUGACAUGAUUUCAUGAUUUCACGACAUAACCGAAACCACUGGAGGUUGACAUUGCAACGGUGCUCACAACUUUGGACACGCCAAAAGUAAGUUACUUGUCGUGUUAGAAGUACAUGAAUUGCUAAAUUUUUCACAACAGCAUGCACGCGUAUGAAAAUAAUCAUCACCACAAGAAAAAGGUUACACACGUAAGUUACAAUAGCUCGUUCGACCGGGCCUUCCAAAUUGUCUACUGUGAUCUUUUUUGUUACAAUAUAAGCAAAUUAACUUUUUAUAUUCAUAUAUUUAACGAUAUAUGUUGUUCAUAUACCACAUACAUCAUUAAAUGAAUGAACUUAAAAAGUCAAUUUUAUUUAUAUUUAGAAAUGGAGGAAGUAAUUAUGAACUGCGUCAAACCGACCAUAAAUAAAUGUUUAAUCAAUGUGAUCAUGGGUGUGUUUUAUAAAGUGUUUUGAAAAAAAGAAGGUGUAUUUUGUUGAGUUGACUUUUAAACAUACGUAUGUGACCUUAUUGACAAAAAAAUGUAUGUUGUCAUUAGUUUGCAAAACAACUCCCGCACUACUUAAAAUUUAUGGGUAUGUGUUUGAUUGAUUUUCCCAAGUCAAUUACAUGGUAUUGGUACCAUGAAAUGCUCAAUCAAUUAAAAUAAUUAAUUUUCAUAAAAAUAAAGUUAACAUCUUGUUGAGGGAGAGUGUAUUGCUCUGUUUCAUGAAAGAAAUCACCAAACAACUAAAAUUUCUCCUUGUUCGGCUUUCAAUUUCUGAUUCCCAUUAAAUACAUAAUUUGUCCAUAAUAUCCCGAAGAAAAUUGAUGGAAUUUAUUUAUUUUUCCUUUCCUACUACUAAUUUUUGUUGUUGUUGUUGAAAGAUACACAAUUCAUUCAAAUGAAAACGAUGAUCGACAAUAAGAUAAAUAAUAAUUGCAAGGAAGUAGUAACGUUGAAAAGAAGAAGAAGAAAAAAUGUGUCACUGAUUAAUUAAAGUAAUAAAUAGAUUACAGAAAAUAAUCGAAUGAAUAAAUCGUCGUCGCACAGAUCGAAACAGAGAAACAACAAAAAGGUACAUAGUAGUUCUCACGAUCCAUGUAAAUUCGUGAUGUAAAAAAAACAAAAUAAAAUAAAAUAAAAUAAAACUCGAGUAACUCUCUAUAGUAUCAAAGCGGCGGCGAAAACCACUACAGCAGCAGAUCCGGCAACGGUAAAUCUGUUCAAAGCGGCACCGUUUUCGGAAGGUCCUUCGGAAGGAGGAGUGGAAAUGGAUGAUGGAGUAAGAGCAGGAGAGACAGCGGGAGAGUCGGAUGAAGCAGGAGGAGGAGAUGGUGGAGAGUUGAUGGCUGAAGGUGAAGGAGAUGGAGCGUUCUUCACAGGUAUGGGAGCAGAUGCCGCCGGUGAGUCAGCGGAGGGAGAGAUCGCAGGUGUGGCAACAGGGGAUAUGGUGGGAGAUGAAGAUGGAGAUUGAGCGAAGGUAGAACUAACCAAUAGUGUAGCCACAAGCAUCAAAACAACUGUGUAUGAAGCCAUUGUAAAAAUUUGAUGAAGGAGAAUAAAAAAUUAGGGUUUAUAAGAAGUUUUGAAGCAGUGUGUAGAAGAAUUGAGAGAGUCUAUUGUUGUGGAAGAAGAGAACAGAAUUGGAACAGUAUUUAUAGAAGUGUAUACGCGUUUCUAGGCUGAGUCGUUAUGAGCCGUUGAUCUUUUCCAAUCAUUGUUAUCUUUUUAUUUUAGAUUAAUAUCAGGUGUAUUUAGAAAAAGAAUCAUUCCUCUUUCUUUCAAAAAUAAAAAUAAAAUAAAAAGAAUUAUUCCUAAUCCUUGUUGGUACAGAAAAAUAUUCUGUCAAUUAAAAAGAAAGUAAAAUUGAACUUAAAAACAAAAAUAAAAUAUAUCUGUCUAUUGUUUUCAUAUCUACUUUAAUAUUUUUACAUAAAUUCGGGGUAGCUAAUUUUGACAAAAAAAAGAGAGUAAUAUUUUUGUUUUUGAGGUAUAAUAUAUAUUUUUUAACAUGUUUAAGAAAAUAUUGUAUUUCUUUUAACAAAAUUUAAGGUGUCCUCGUUUGAUUAGCUCAGUUGGUUGGACAAUGCAUCAAAUAUGUAAAAAAUAUUAAGGUGAGUUUUUUUUCGAGAUACAUCCAAAUAUGAUUUUCAAGGUUCAAAAAAUGUCCAUAGACAUACUUAUAGAUUGUUUAUUAAUUACAUAUUUAUAUAAAUUAGUCCUUCAAAAUUGUCAUAGCAGAAAAUUAAAUGUGAAACGUUGAGAGGAAUACACUCCAAUAUCACAAAAUCAACACCAUCAAUCUAGAAAAAAAUUGUAUUAAUCAACUAAAAUUUAAUCUUAAGAAGUUUAAAAAAUAAAAUGUAAACUCUAAAAAAUCAAUUGAAAAAAAAUAGGAAAAUCAAAUGAAAUAAAAAAAAAAAUAGGAAAAUUUUCUCAAAAACGGAAAGAAAAUAAAAUGUGAGAAUAAAAGGAAACUAAAACUCAAACUUAAAAGGAAAAACAGAAUACCGUUGAGUUGGCGUGAAGAGGCAACAAGCUGGUAGGGAAUGAAUGAGCAAGUCCAAGCUGGUAACUUUCUUAGAAUAAUAAGAACCGUUGGACAGAUGGUUGCUAUUAUUUGAAGAAAAGUCCUAACAGACUACAAAUCUAGGAUUAAAUAUGUCUUAAUUUUCUAUUAAUAUAUUAACGUUUUAUUUUAGUUCAAUAAAAUUUUCAAUCAACAUUUUUUUGUCAUUAUUUCUAAGUUAAUUUAUAUGUAGUAUUUGUAUUUUUUAACAAAAUAGUGCAGAAUAUUGAAAACUCUCUCAAUUUUUUUUUUAAAAAAACAUAAAUUAAAUAUAAAUUUUUAACCGUUGAAAAUAUAAAAUUCAUAUUUGAUUCAUAUUUUGUUAAAAUAUUCUAAUUAGUUUUAGGCGCGAUUUUUACCAUAAUAAGUUUUUAUUUGUAAAAUUUUGUUUAAAAAUAUGAAUUUCACAUAAGGGUGAGAAAAAACCAAAAACCGAACUGAACUGUUGAAUUGAACCGAACAAAACAAAAAAUUAUUGACAAUUCUGAAACUGAACUGAAACAAUUCGGUUCGAUUUGAAACAGUUCGGUUCAAAUCUAUAACAAUUCAAUAACUAAAAUUCGAUUUCGUUUGAUUUUUUAUAAAGGUACCAAUCAUAAUUGUUCAAUUCAGUUCGAAACAGGGACAAUGCAUAAUAUAUGUAAGGUCCGGGGUUCGAACCCUAACCUCCACACAAAAAGUUCAAUUCGAAACAGUUCGGUUCAGUUUGAAACAUUUUGAUUCAGUUCGAAAUGCAAACAAUUCGGUUCAGUUCAGUUAUUUUAAAUUAGGUUAAAUAUGUUUUUGGUCCCUAUAAAUAUAUCAACUUUUCGUUUUAGUCCCUCUAAAAUUUUCCUUCAACUUUUAGUCCCUAUGAAAUUUUGAAUCACUACUUUUGAUCCCUAUUUUAAAGUAAAUUUUAGUAUUUUUUUAAUGAAAUUGUACAUAAAUGUGUAGAAUAUUGUAAAAAAAUUAGAAUUUUUUAAGUAAACAUAAAUUAAAUAUGAAUUUUUAACCAUAAAAAAUAUAUAAAUUCAUAUUAAAUUCAUCUUUUGUAAAAAAAAUCUAUUUUUUUUUUGUAAGAGAUUCUUAUAAUAUUAUGAAUUUUUCUGGAAAAUUUGAUUCAAAAAUUCUACAUAUGAGUUUACUUUAAAAGAGGGACCAAAAGUGAAAAUGGAAAAUUUUUAGGGACUAAAAGUUGAAGGAAAAUUUUAGAGGGACUAAAAUAAAAAGUUAGUAUAUUUAUAGGGACCAAAAACAUAUUUAACCCUUUUAAAUUUAGUAAACAAAUCAGUUCGGUUCCGUUCAAUUUUCAUCCUGAACCAAACUAUGUCCACCCCUAAUUUUACAUACUCCCUUCUGUCACUAUUAUAAGCAAAAGUUGGUUUUUUAGAUUCAUUCAAUAAAUGAUGUAUGUGGUCUAUAUAUAAACUACAUACAUAAUUUAUUGAAUGAAUUUAAAAAGUGAACUUUUGCUUAUAAUAGUGACCAGAAGGAGUAUGAGUUUAGUUAAAAAUAGAAAGCAAAAGUGAUGAUGAAAAACUUUUGAGGAACUAAAAAUAGAAGAAAAUUUUAGAGGGACUAAAAAUAAAUUGGUAUAUUUAUAGGAAAAAAAUUACACAUUUAACCAUUAAACAUAAUAUUAUGGAUUUUUCAGACAAAAUAUAUAUAUAUAUAACAAGAUAAAGAGAUACAAAGAUCGGAUGACAUUCGACUUAACCUAAGUACAAUUCAAACGGAAAUACAUCGUGAUAAAUCAAAUCAACAAGUUUAAACUAGCGAAUGGAUCGGCCACCAACAUAGAAACCAAAUUCACGUAUCAACGACUCCUGAAUAAAUCAUCAAACAUAAAAGCUCUUUCGAAAAAUGGUGCCGCAAAUCUGACACAGAACUGCAGAUCUCGGCAAAUUUAGAGUAAAAGAUAAUCAAAGAGAUCAUAACCAAACACAAGCAGUUGCACAUGAAAUCAGGGGUAUGAACCCAGAUCGCGGCUAUUUGGAGAGUGAUGAAAAGACAUAAAUGAGUCACAUUGCUAGUUGCUACAAGAAAACAUCUCACUCGAAGUUGGAGAAAUGUUUGGGUUUCAAUUUGAAAACUGAUUCAAUUGAUGAAAACCAAUAUGCCUGAAACAACAUUUUCUAGCUUCUACAAGUGAAAAAAGCCAAGUUUGACAACCAUUGAAAGUUUGAAACAGUUCAAAAACGCUUCCCAUAAAGUUGAGACACUAAAACACCUACUCUGAAGGGCCAAGGAAAGAGACACUAAAACUAGGAAGAAUCAAAGAAGGACCCGUUAACUUCAGACGAGUCUCCCUUGACUUCAUUUUACUUUACUUUAGGCUGGGGUCAUACUCACGCCUGUGGUGUUUUGUAUCAAAGAAAUUAUCAAACAAAACCAAAAUUCACUUGUUUCUCUUUAAAUACUAAUUUUACUUUACCAUAGCAGUCGGAAGGAAAUUGCUGCAUUUUUUUUUUCUGCCAUUAAUUGUGAAUAUUAACUUGUGUUUGGCUGUUGAAGAGACAUCAAUCGAGUAAUAAAUUGCAAGGAAAUAACAGAAAUUGAAAAGAAUAAAAAGUAUCACUCUCAUUAAAAUAAUAAUCAAUAGAUUACAGAAAAUAAUAAAAUGAAUGAAUGGUAGUCACACAGAUCGAAACAGAGCAACAAAAGAGUUCACGAUCCAUGUGAAUUCGUGAUUAAUAACAAAAUAAAUCAAAGAAAAAAAAACUCAGAUGAACUCUCUACAUCAUCAAAGCAGCGGCGAAAACCAUAACAGCAGCAGAUCCAGCAACGGUGAAUCUGUUAAAAGCGGCGGCGGAGUUGUCUGAAGGUGAAGGUGCUUCAGAAGGAGUAGUAGAGAUGGAUGAUGGAGUAACAGCAGGAGAAACAGCGGGAGAGUCAGAGGAAGCAGGAGGGGAAGGAGAAGGAGCGUUCUUCACAGGUACGGGAGGAGAUGCCACCGGUGAGACAGCGGAAGGAGAUGGUGCCUGAGAGGAUUUGGGUGGAGUGGCAACGGGUGAUAUGGUUGGAGAUGAUGAAGGAGAUUGAGCAAUAGUGGAACUAACCAACAGUGUAGCCACAAGCAUCAAUACAACUGUGUAAGAAGCCAUUGUAGAAAGUUGAAGAAGGAGAAUGAAAUUUUAGGGUUUAUAAGAAGUUUUGAAGUAGUAAGUAGAAGAAGAAUUAGAGCCUAGAGGAGUUGUUUGUUUGUGAUUUGAUGUUGGAAGGGUAUUUAUAGAAGCAUAACCGUGUGAAGACGCGUUCCUAGGAUUAGUCGUUAAUCACCCGUUGUUCAUCUUUUUCACUUUUUUAUUUUUAUUUAUUUAGAAUAAAAGGAAGAAAAAAAAAGAAUACGGUUGAGUUGGCGUGAAGAGAUUUACAGCACGCGGGGGAGAAAGAGAAGGAAUGAUCAAGUCCAAGUCCAAGCUGGGACAGCUGUUUUGAAUAAUAAGAGCCGUUGGAUAGAUGGUUGUCAUCGUUUAUUUUAGGAAAAGUCGUAACGGUCGGAAAUAAGAAUACUUUCCAAACCGAGAGACAGAGUCGGAGUCGGUAGGUACCAGCUCGCACACGACAUGGGGAGGCUGGGACCACCUUGCUUUUUCCCCAAUAAAAAAGGUGUCUAGAUGAUUAUUAUUAAUAAGAAAAAACUCAAAAUUUAGGAAGAAAAUACUUCCAAUGCAAUGACUAAUCACUUUAACAACUUUUUAUUUUUUCGAACGUUACUGAAUGGUUAACGUUUGACUUUAAAGUCUCUGUCGUCACCACAUUUAUUUAUCCAUAGCUUUAUAUUAUGGCUCAUAUUAACUUAUGUCUUAUACAUGUUAAAUAAUCUAUAAAAAGCAACUUUGAAUUAGAAAAUACUACAUAAUAUAUUACUAACUUUUAAGAAUUUGAAUGUAGACUUUUGAUAUGUCUAUUUCUAUAAUGAUUUUUAUAACAUGUAAUUUGAGGGCAUAAAUUAGCAUUUAAUGCCUUAUAUUAUUAAAAAAUGAAAGCUAGUUUUCCUUCAAUGAUUUUGUAAUCCGCAUUAAAACUCCAACUUUUUUAUAUGUUUAAGUGAAUUCAUUGUUUUUUCACAUAAGCAAGUUUUAUGCAUUUCAUUUUAAAUAAUAGUUUCGAUAUAUGUUUGAAUGUUUUUUUUGGUAGAUAUAUGUUUGAAUGUUAAUAAGAAAAAAUGUGAAAAACUAGUUAAAGAUGUGAAAACUAGUUAAAGAUGUAAUCAUUCAAACAAAAUUAUGAAUAACUUCAUUAACUUGUUUAAAUUUCUAAUUAAUCAAACAUGAGAGUUCACAUGAUAGGUAGCUGAGAUGCGUCUCAAAUUAUUAGUGCCACCAAAAUCUGAGAUAUUAUCCCUCUUUUUGUGAUACUAUCCACUCUUGUUUUUGAAUCCACUUCAAAAUCCAUAUCAAUCAAUCAUAUCCUGCUUUGCAUGUAUCAACUUCGAGUAUAGGAGAUACCCACUCAGUUUUUGCUAGUACAAACUAUCUCGGGUCAUCUCUGUUGGAACAUUGAUGUGAUGUUGGAUGAAAAAUUGAAAGAUUAAACACCAAGUAAUUACUUUGAUCUAAUGUUGUGUGAAUUGAAAAAAUAGAGUGUGGGGGUCCCGCAUAAAAUAGAACACACACAUUAGUAGUGUUUAAAUUGUGGUAUUUAAUUUUAAAUACUUGAUAGUGAUAAAAAUAAUAGUAAUUAUUAUUUUAUUAGAGAAUAUCACUUUCCAUAAAUUUAGCUUAUGGUGGUUGUGAUAAGAAUAAUAAUUUAAUUAUUAUUAUAUUUCCUUUAUUCAAAUCCAAUAGUUUGGUUCCUCCACUUUUGUGGAUUUGUUUCUUUUGAUCCUAUCCACAAGUGUUGUUGAACUGAUUAAUGGAUAAACUCCAUUUUAAUCUUAUCCACUAGAGUAAUUGUUGUCGCAAUUUUUGCUAAAACAGUUACACAAUCUCUAUAUAAAUAGAGGACUCCACUCAGUUCAAAAAACACACCAAAGAGUUUCAUUGAGUUGUCGGGAACUCUUUCUCUCUUCUCCCUUUCUUGACUUGUGUUGACGAGUCUUUCUUCUCUUCAUCUCCUUUUUCUGUCCCUUCGGAUUUAAGAGUGUUCUUAAGACCAUAGUCGCUUUUCGGUUUAAUGUCCCUUCGGAAUUAAGAAUGGUCUUAAAAACAUAGUCCCUUCGAUAAAUGUCCCUUCAGAAUAAAGAAUAUUUUUAAGAUCAUAGUCCCUAUUUGGAAGAACAAUGUCCCGUCGGAAUUAAGAAUGAUCUUAACGGAUGAUCUUAACGGUAUAUAUAAAAAGUAUUUCAAUAUUUUUUAUUUGAGGAGAAAUGGUGGUAUCACCAUAUUUGAGUGGUUGUAGUACCAUAUUGAUAGUUUGGAGAACUUAAAGUUAGAAUGGUGUUAACACCAUAUUUGAGUGGUCUCAGCACCAUAACAGAGUGGUAACAAUACCAUAUUAAAGUGGUUUCAGUAUUAAAGAGUGGUCUUAGUACCAUAUUUGAGGGUGUAAUUCUCGAACGGUUUUCUACAGUGCAGUAGUUAACCGCACAGUUGUAGCUGGGCUUGUUUUAUCCUGGAGGCGGCGUGGUUGAUAGUCUGCCUUGCACAAUUUUGAGUAGUGCCACGAAACGUCUUAAAGAAAGCGACCUGGUCGUGACUCAACCUAGUAACAACUUCGGUAGAUAAUAGAAUUUGGAAAUCCAAAUACAACAGUUUGGAAAUUCAAAAACAACAAUUUUAAGACGUUUCAUUAUGUUAUGUCUACUGAAGAAGUUACUUGUUGAGCUUCAAUUGUCCCUAAAUACAAGAAGGAUAAAUCAAGCUAUAGAAAUACAUCUAAUGGCCGAACGCGACGAAGUGCUUGUUAUAAACAACAACACUAUGAAAUUCACAUAUUUUUUUGGUAAAGUGUGGAGUUAAUUGCAAUGAGCCAUAACUGUACACAUCGACAUGGUGCAAUCCCAAUAUUUCCUAAGUGUUUUACGACGCUGCUGUUUUUUGAGUUAAAGGAAUGAUAAUUGGAAUAAGCUUACGGUUUUUAACUCAUACGUGCUGUUUUAGAAAUUGUCAUCACAAUUCACUUGAAAAACAGCGUUGAGAAAAAUUAUGCUUAUAAUGAUAUUGAUAGAUCAAGGCUCUAAGAUUAAGCGCAACAACAUUGCUAUAAUAUUGAGCACCAGCUAUGAACUAAGCCACUAAAGCUUCAAACGUAUAACUCUGCAAUAAAGGAAAAUAAAUGGAGUUGUGGAAUUGUACUUUAUGUCUAGAAAGAAUCUGAAUUUCAGAUUUCUAUUGAAUAAGACUGAGUUGACUUAGACUUAAAGAGAGAUUUGUGUACCAUGCAUUCUUGUGGAAAAAGAUUGCACAUUUAAUGGUAGGUUCAAAAUUAAAAUUCUCCUUCUAUUUGAUUAGUUUUGUGAUUUUAAUAUUUGACAUGUGAACAAGCGUUUAAUUUUAAACUCGAGUAACUUGAACUUAGUUCCAACGUUAUAUGAUUAGACAAUUUUAUUUAUUGCAGUCAAGAUAUAUGAACAAAAGUUCAUAUAAAUCAGAAUUUAGAGAAUAUGAAUCUCUAAAUAUAAUAGAUUAUGAUAUGUGUGAACUUGAUGGCACAUAAACUAGAAAUGAUAAAAUGAUAUUUUAUCAUAUUUAUUGAUGACUGUGAAUUUUGGAAAAUAAAAUUGAUAUGCUUGAUAUGUUCAAUUUUUAUAACGAAAAUUGAAAUUUAUAGAGUACCCAGGUCUAAGAACAAAAAUUCUAAUUUUUGAAGAAAAGACAACCCAACUAAUUGUCUUAUUUUUUAAACUUGGGAUUGUCUGGACUAUAUUUAGAUUAUGGACCCCAAGAGAGUUGAACUCUCUAGUAGAGCAUAUGAAUGUAUAUUCAUUGGGUAUGCUAUAAAUAGCGAAACAUAUAGGUUUUAUGACCUAAAUGUUAAAGUGAUCAUAGAAUUAAAAGACGCCAAUUUCUAUGUAAAUAUUUACCCCUUUAAACUAAAGAAUAGCGGGGGCACUAGUGGGAGCAAAAUAAAUUCUCUUCUAAAAAUUAAGAACUAGUGGGGGCACUAUAUCUGAUCAUAUUCAUGUAAUCAGAAAUAGUUAUGAAAACAUCGUACCAGAUGUUAUAGAACCUUGAUGAGGUAGGAAAGCUAGAAUAGCUAAAGAGUAUGAACUCGGUUUAUACAUUGGAAGAAUAUCAAUUAAGCCUUAAAGAAGCUAUAUCCUUAUUGGAUGCUGAAUUAUGGCAAGAAGCAAUAAACGAUGAAAUGGAUUUUCUAGAGUCUAACAAAACAAGACACUUGGUUGACUUGUCUCAUAGUUGCAAACUGAUCGGUUGUAUUUGGAUUUUAGGAAAAAGAACUAAAACCUGAUGGUACGGUUGAUGAAUACAAGGCUCUCCUUGUAGUCAAAGGUUUUAGAUAGAGAAAAAUAUAGUCUUCUUCGACACUUAUUCACCAGUCACUAGAAUCAUAUUCAUAAGAGUACUAGUCCCUUUAGCCGCCGUUCAUAACUCGAUAGUACUCCAAAUGGAUGUGAAAGUUGCCUUCUUUAUGGUGAACUAGAAGAAGAAGUCUAUAUUAAACAACCGGAAGGUUUUGUGAUUCAUGGACUAGAAAACAAGUUCUGUAAGUUAGAUAAUUCUUUGUGAGGUCAAAAAUAAACUCUUAAGGAAUGACAUGAAAAAUUUGACAUUCUAAUGCUAUCGAAUGAGUAUAAAGUGAAUGAAAGUGACAAAUAAUAUUUGCACGAUCAUAUGUCUCUAUGAAGACGACUUGCUCAUAUUUGGUUUAAAGAUUCAUGUUAUGAAUUAUAUGAAAUCAUUGUUUAUCAACAACAUUGAUAAGAAAGACCUAGACAAAGUUGAAGUAAUUCUUGGUUUCAAGAUUACUAGAUCAGAAAAGAGAACUUUUUUGAUGAAUCUCACAAAGUUGAGAAUAUCUUAAGAAAAUGUAAUUCUUUGACUGUAAACUUGCAAGUGUAAAACUUUUCAAGAACACUUGAGUGUGAGCAUCAUUGGCAGUCUUUAGACAUGUCAUUGAAUGUAUUAGACUCGACGUUGGCCACGUCGUGAGACUUUUGUUCAAGUUUACUAGUAGACAGAUGAGAAGCAUUGUCAUGCUACUUAAAGAGUCAUGAGGUGCCUUAAGAAGAUUAUGACUCUACGAUUACAUUAUGAGAAGUAUCUUAUUGUACUUGAAUAGUACAAGAUACAAAUGAGAAGUAUCAUAUUGUACAUGAGUGGUACAAGAUAAAAAAAUUGAACAUCCUUCAGAUGAGUUUCAAAGCGACCAGUGACUGCCCAUUGAGCAUCACUGGAGGAGUUAUUUGUUGAAACAAAUAAUAUUAUGGAAUGAAUCUGAGAUGAGAACACUAGACAAAACUAGUGAAGAAGCAAGUUGAUAAGAUGCUUGCUAGCUAAGAACCCUCAGUGGGUGAAACCGUUGUCCGAAGUGUUAAUUUUUUGUGAUAGUCUGCAGCUAUUACAAAAUUGAGAAUCGUUGCCACAAUGGUGAGAGACGAUAAUUAAGGCACGAACACAGAAUGAUUAGAGAGCUCUAAAAGGAACGAUUAAAGUAUAUCGUGCACGUACUGAUAAAGAAUUAGUAAAUCCUUUGACGAAAGGAAUUACUAGAAAGAAAGUCCUAAACACAUCUAAUAGGAUAAGACUAAUGCCCAAAGGUCACAAGUGAUGGUAACCCGACCUACAUGAUUGGAGAUCCCAAGAAAUAGGUUCAAUGGGUAAUAACAAGUCAUGAGUGAUAGAACAUGCUAUGAGAAAAGUAAGAAAGCAUGAUUCCUGCAGUGACAGAAGGAUGAGAUAAUAGAAACUCUUAAUGAGAUCUAUACUCUAUGUGGAGUGGAGUACCUAGCUACAGGAGUACUCUUGAUAGACUCACCUAUACGAAUGUGGAACUUAGGCCGAUUCCUAUGGUAUUCGGGGCAGAAUACCUAGAACGUUCGUUAAAACCGGAAUAGACGUGCAGGGCCAUAAAACGCACGAGCUUUUAGAAUACACCUUAGGAAAAGGUUUGUGUGUGGGUUCUAUGUCUGAGAUAGAGUUCAAUGCUGUAAGCAACUCUUGUUAAAUCGGAAUAUUAUCCGCUAUGCAAAGGUUCAAGUUGUAGGCGACACCUUUGUUUAUUAGCAACCUUAUAGAAACGUUUUGACGUUAUUAUUGAAACCAUUUUUUAAAUUCAAGUGGGGGAUUGUUGGAACAUUGAUGUGAUGUUUGAUGAAAAAUUGAAAGAUUAAACACCAAGUAAUUAUACUUUGAUCUAAUGUUGUGUGAAUUGAAAAAAUAGAGUGUGGGGGUCCCGCAUAAAAUAGAACACACACAUUAGUAGUGUUUAAAUUGUGGUAUUUAAUUUUAAAUACUUGAUAGUGAUAAAAAUAAUAGUAAUUAUUAUUUUAUUCGAGAAUAUCACUUUCCAUAAAUUUAGCUUAUGGUGGUUGUGAUAAGAAUAAUAAUUUAAUUAUUAUUAUAUUUCCUUCAUUCAAAUCCAAUAGUUUGGUUCCUCCACUUUUGUGGAUUUGUUUCUUUUGAUCCUAUCCACAAGUGUUGUUGAACUGAUUAAUGGAUAAACUCCAUUUUAAUCUUAUCCACUAGAGUAACUGUUGUCGCAAUUUUUGCUAAAACAGUUACAGAAUCUCUAUAUAAAUAGAGGACUCCACUCAGUUCAAAAAACACACCAAAGAGUUUCAUUGAAUUGUCGGGAACUCUUUCUCUCUUCUCCCUUUCUUGACUUGUGUUGACGAGUCUUUCUUCUCUUCAUCUCCUUUUUAUGUCCCUUCGGAUUUAAGAGUGUUCUUAAGACCAUAGUCGCUUUUCAGUUUAAUGUCCCUUCGGAAUUAAGAAUGGUCUUAAAAACAUAGUCCCUUCGAUAAAUGUCCCUUCAGAAUAAAGAAUACUUUUAAGAUCAUAGUCCCUAUUUGGAAGAACAAUGUCCCGUCGGAAUUAAGAAUGAUCUUAACGGUAUAUAUAAAAAGUAUUUCAAUAUUUUUUAUUUGAGGAGAAAUGGUGGUAUCACCAUAUUUGAGUGGUUGUAGUACCAUAUUGAUAGUUUGGAGAACUUAAAGUUAGAAUGGUGUUAACACCAUAUUUGAGUGGUCUCAGCACCAUAACAGAGUGGUAACAAUACCAUAUUAAAGUGGUUUCAGUAUUAAAGAGUGGUCUUAGUACCAUAUUUGAGGGUGUAAUUCUCGAACGGUUUUCUACAGUGCAGUAGUUAACCGCACAAUUGUAGCUGGGCUUGUUUUAUCCUGGAGGCGGCGUGGUUGAUAGUCUGCCUUGCAUAAUUUUGGGCAGUGCCACGAAACGUCUUAAAGAGAGCGACCUGGUCGUGACUCAACCUAGUAACAACUUCGAUAGAUAAUAGAAUUUGGAAAUCCAAAUACAACAGUUUGGAAAUUCAAAAACAACAAUCUCUUAUGCAUACAAUAAUACCUACUUCUUAAGGGCAUUGUUAAAGGAUGCAUCGACAACAACAUUACAUGUAUGCCACCCCUACUUUUUAUAAACCCUAAUUUUUUAUAUGCCCAUUGAAGAAUUAUUUUUACUUAUGAUACUCAUACGAUGAUGUCAGGAAAUCAAACAUACAAAUAUUGAAAGUUGAAACAUGCUGUCAAAGAUUGUUGCUGUCCAACAACCAGGUUCUAGUGAGCUGCCAAAAAGAAUCAUUAGUAACUAAAAUAUUUGGUUUAAAAAAUGCUUGUAGGUUUUUUUAAGCUUAAAUGUAAUCUGAAAUUAAUAUUUUCCGAUUAUGAUUGUGCAUCACCAACUACAGUACAACGAAUAAGAAUCGUUUGCAAUUUAAAGAUAAAUUAAAGUUACAGAAAAAUGACACCUCGUAAAUUGAUAAUUUUUAAAAUUCAACAAAUCCUUUCAAAAAAGAAAACGGUGACUGAGCGUGCCACAUCAACGAAAAUGCACAAUCAGUUGACCUAGGGGGUAUUUCAAAAUAAAAAACAAAAUUACAAGGACGGAAUCUGACAAAUUUUUUUACAAGGGGAACCAAAAGUGACCUAUAUUGCGGGGUAAAAGCCUAUUAAUCCUUAAAAUUAAAAAAAGUUGAUAAAAUCUUAAAUUAGGCUUUCAAGAGUAGAAAACAUAGGUUCUUUUUUUUGUUUUUUAAGAUCUGAUAUUUUAAUUGGUAAUUUUUAAGUGAAGUAGUAAUAUUUAAAGCAAUUUAAUCUUAAUCAAUUUGUAACCAAAAAAAAAAUCUUAAUCAAUUCAAUUUGUGAAUUUUUUUAAUAGAUUAUGUGAACUUGGAAGGUUUUUUUUUUUGGUCAAUGUGAACUUGAGGGUUUUAAACAAAUGAAAAGCGAAGGAAACAACAAGACAUUUACGUACCAUAUAGACUGUGUGUUUGCGUUGACUUUCUCGUACUAGUGCUAAGCACGAUCCUCAAAUGCUAUUUUCUUCCAAUAAUUUUGUUUCAAUUAUAAUUUUUUAAGGAAACAAAUGCUAUUUUCUUCCAAUAAUUUUGUUUCAAUUAUAAUUUUUUAAGGAAAAUGUUGUGCACACCUCUUGAGGUUGUAUACACUUUAAAACAAAGAGAGAAAAAGAAUGAUAAAUAUGAUAGUUUGAUGAUAUGAUGGAAAGAGAACGAUAUAGAGAGAAGAUAAUGUAUUAAAUGAGUGUUGAAAAUUAAGCUCUCUAUUAAUUGUUGUAUUUUUAAUACAUCGAAGUUUUAUAAAGCUCAAUUUUCCUUCACAAUACAUAAAUUUUUUUGGUCUUGUAGACAAGAUUGUAAAUACCACAUAAAACUCAUAAAUGGGAGGUUCUCGGUUCAAAUCGAAGAUACCACAAAUAUUCAGUCAAACAAUUAGCUAAGACUUAUGGAUCCAUCACAAUACAUCAUAAUUAUCUUCAUAAUACCAAAUAUUCCCAAUCAUUAUUGAACCCCAUUUAAAAAAGUAAUAUUAAUAAUUAGAGAAUUAAUAUAAUAAAAAAUUACAAUCCACGAGUUACCCUUCAACAAAGAGCACCUUUAUUGUCACAAAAAUGCACCUUAAUCACUUAUACAAGGUACCUUCACAAAAGCAGAACCUCUAGUUUUCUACAAAAGUCAUCAAAGAAAGCGAGAAAAGUUAACGUCAAAUUUGUCUAAGCAUUAGACAAUGCCCUCAGCCCCUCACCUAUUCUAUCAUCUAUUACACAUUACAUGGCACUAUAUAAAGUUUCAAAUGACUUAUAGAGCCGGACAGAAGAAAAAUCGUGCAAAUGAAUUAGUAAAUAAAUAAGUCACGACUAGAAUCAGGAUUCUUUAAUCUUCUUAGAUCCAUCUGAAGUAGUAUAGAAAUUUACACUCCCCUUCCUCUUCUGUUUUGUGCGACAUAAUUUGUGUAUCUUACAGGAAAAAACAGGUUUAUGUGCCAGGAGCAGUAUUGGAAUCAUCAACACUACUGGCAUUACCAUUCAAUUUGCUGUUAAAUUCCAAGCCAUACAUGUGACCCAUUUUCACACGUUUGGUUUCCAAGUAUCUCCUGUUUUCGUUUGUGAUAAGUGAUAACAAUGGGAUCCUACCGGAAAUCGACAAACCAUAACCUUUGAGCCCAACAUAUUUUGCUGGAUUGUUUGUCAUCAGCUUCAUAGAACGAACACCCAAGUCCCUCAAUAUCUGCAAUUACAAUUUCAAAUUCUAACCAUUAUGAGUGAAUCCAACUGCCCAAAACAUCUAGUUCUAUGUUGUAUGGACAAUAGCAUGUCAUUGAACUUAAUAAUCAUGUAAAUCACCAUGAAUUGAAUACAGUAAAAUAAUUGAGGAUAAGAUGUUCAAUAUUCAAGUGACUAAUUAUUUUAUUUUUAUUAUAAUUACCUGUGCACCAAUUCCAUACUCCCUUGAGUCAACAGGCAAUCCCAACUCCUCAUUGGCUUCUACAGUAUCCCUUCCCUCAUCCUGUAGGUUAUACGCACGAAGCUUGUGGCCCAAUCCAAUACCCCUUCCUUCAUGUCCACGAAGGUAUACCAACACACCUCUACCAGCAGCCUCAAUCUGUUGCAUUGCAAGAGCCAACUGAUUUCCGCAGUCACACCUGGCAGAUCCAAAUAUGUCUCCUGUGAGACACUCUGAGUGUACCCUCACAAGAACAUCACAUCCAUCCCCAAUGUCACCCUGUUAAACAAGAAAAGUCCAAUCAUAACAAAGGCUAAGUAUUGAGUAUUGAAUCAAGCAAUAUAAAAUUUAAAAUCCCCUAUGUCACCCUGUUAAACAGGAUAAGUCCAACCAUAACAAAGGCCAAGUGUCGAGUAUUGAAUCAAGCAAUAUAAAAUUUAAAAUUGAAAGGUUCAAGAUGAUUGGAAGAGUUUGCCGAUUUUCAAAUCCCGCAGGCUUAUAGAAAACACCUUGAAUGCAAAAAUGUUGAAAAAAGGGGUGUACAUCAAUUUAUCACCUAAGGAAAAAAAAAACUGAUCUUGUCAGUUAAAGGAUAAUAAGUAUGACAUCCCAAUUUUAGUCAAUGAGAAUUCAAUUCCUAGGGAACACAUCCAAAUAGAAAGAUGACUAGAUCCCUUGGACUGGCCAAGGCUUCACUCAAUCUUGCGUGGGCAUUAGAGCGGCCUAAACUCACAAAGUUUACCUCUUAGUGGAUCCUAUUUGUGGACCCUGGAUCAAGGAGUUCUUUUUACCUUUUUCUCUAUUCAUUUUGAAAAAUUCACGGACAUUCACUACCUGCUCAGGCAUUCUAUAUCAUAUUUAUUUUGUUGAAGCCAAAGUAUUUGUGGAUCAGAACUCUACAAAGCCAUCAGGACCAUGCUGUAGAAUUUCAAGUUAACUCACAGGAAAAAGAUGAAGGCCCCUAUCUGAGAUUUUUUGGGACUUCUAGCCUUGGCAGCUGGCAGAUAGUUUGUAAGUAGUUAGAUAUUUUAAGGUGCCAAUCCUAGGGAAGUAAGUCAUUUUCCUUUAGGCCAUUAGUUUAGCUUCUUUUCCAAUUGUAGGGGACUUCAUCAAACAAGGUGUGUAUUGGAAUGUUGUGAGUUGAAACUCUCUCUGGACUUCAAGAAUUGGGCUUCCUAGUAUCAUACUAUUAUUAUUACCCCCUCAGCAAGCAGGAAAUAAAAAAACUAAAGAAAGUAUGGAAAACAGCAGCUUCGAUGUGAGUCAGUUUUUUAUUUUAUUUUUAAAUUUUGACAGCCACAGCAAUGUAACAACAGGUUAUUAUCAAUAUAUGAUUAAGAAAAAAGGGUUUGAUUUUUUUUUUUUUUUUGAAAUGGAAAAUAUUAUUCACGACGGGAUGAGUGCAAGGCGCACAAAAACAACCGCAGACAAGCCAAAAGGCAGCAAAAAAAACAUACAAACCAGGUGUCGUAAAUAUGCGGAAAACCCGAUACCCACCACAAAACACCCAAACACCCUAAAUAAACCAGCAGAAACAGAGCCCAUACCGAGCUAAAUUUACAUGAUGCUGAAAUAUACCAGAGAACCAAGACUAACAACGGCUAACCAAAAUCACGCAGCCUACCAAAAACAUAGCCUACUCCCGCAUACACCUACAUCACAGCCAGUACAACAACAGGCAGAAACAAGAGGACACACCACCACCAAACAGAAGCGAAAAAGGGGGGGAGAAACGCACAGACAGUACAACAGCACCCUGAAAAGCUAUCGCAGUAGCUACUGCAGAGAAGGAGCAACCAGCAAAACAGAUAAGCCAAAAAAACUCCACCGCCACGCCAAAAACGACCUGAACACCGCCUCACCACAAACUCAGCCCAACACAGACACAACAGGACGGUUACCGCAAGAUGCAAUCUCUAGGAUUCCAAACCCACUCAAAGAAGAAACAAGCCACGAGAGCACCUUUAUCUCCUCCCCCACACCGUCAUUAAAAAUUCUAUUGUUUCUCUUCUUCCACAAAACCCAAAUUGUCGCAUGCCAGACAAGCCACAACCCCUUCUUUAAUCUUUUCCUACUCGCCACCCCACUCCAACAAGCCCAGUGAAUAAAUAGAUUUGGGGGCAUAACAAAACUAAAAUUCCACCACGUCAUCACUUUAGACCACAACCCCAAGCCAAGUCACAGCGAAGCAAAAUAUUGAAGAAUAGAAAAUAAUGCACUCACGCAGUGUUGUAUGCUUAACAUAGAAGUGCUAAUUAGCUAAAUCAUAUUGCUCUAACAUAUUGGUAUCUCUCUCAUGCUUUCUCGUCCAUUUAGUUAAAAUCAAAGUUAAACUAUCAAAAAUAUUCAUGCAUAUUACUAUACAUAUAUAUAGUUCAAUAUAGACAUGAGAUUUCUCACCUUUACCAUCGCAAUAUGCUCCAUCCCAUCUAAAAGUGACCUAUAACAGUUAGCUUCAAAUGGCCCCCACAUUGUUGGUAUUAGUGCAGCACCAGCACGUUCCACUAGUUUAUCUCUCUUCCUUCUAUACCUGCCAGACUAAUAGGUGUUAAUCUCCUCGAUAGGUAACCAGAAAAGAAACAAAAAGUAUUCAGGAAGAAAAAUUAGCUAAAGAUGAAUCAGGCAAGGAACAAAAAAUAGAUGCAUAUAAAGACAAAAUAAGCACGGAAAAAUUUAACUGCGCUUAAAGGAGAUUUUUUGUUUAAUAACUGCAGUGCAAGGAAUUUAAUGGAAGAUAAACAAAAUAGGAUUUCCAUUUUUGUAAUGGUAUAGAAAAAAUAUAUUCAGUGAAAUGCACAAAUUAGAAAAAAGAACUUAACACAUAAGCAAUCAUGAAAAUUGAUUGAUAGCAACCUCUAAAAUUAGGAGUAAGUACCACAAAAAAACCAAAUUGAUUGAAUUUCUCGUUAUGUAGUUCGAAUUUUCGAACGACAAAUUACGGUAUCAGACAACAUGAGGGAUUUAAAUUAUUCUAGCUGUAACUGAAAGCAAAAUAUGAACAUGACCGACAACAAAAAUUGCAUACAAUGGUAGAAACCAAUGGAUCCUGCAAUCAACCAACAGUAACACAGCACAAAGAAGAAGAAAUAGAUGACAAUUAAGGAAAAUAGGGUGCUUUAUUGAUAGUAAUGACAAUAGUAGUAGAGGGUUUCUCUAACUACUACCAAAGAAAGCUUCGACACAACUCACUGACUCAGAGGAAUCCUACUCUGGUCCUAACAGAAACUUAUUCCGUCAUACCUACAACUCAUAAGAAUUUCCCUUUAUAUACAAAUAAAGAGAACAUUCUAUUAUUUAACCCUCAUGAGCUUUUUAUUAUUUAACCCUGAUGGGCAACUUGCUAAUAAUCACUUAACCCUACUUAGCCACCUACUAAUUACUUAAAAAACCUCUCAUAUUGGGUCCUAACAUACAAUGUAUUUCGCAACAUGCUACCACAUGGAGUACCUUAUUAAGUCAACAAUAGAUAUAAUUUUCAAAUUUUCACGCUCUGCAAACUGGCGAAGCUUAGGUAAUCUAGCCAUGGAACCAUCAUCAUCCACAACCUCACACAGAACUGCCACAGGAUCCAAACCAGCAAGUACUGCAAGAUCAACUGAAGCUUCUGUAUGUCCAGCUCUCUUCAAUAUACCACCUUCCUUGUAUUUUAGCGGGAAAAUAUGGCCUGGGCGAUUGAAAUCACUUGGUUUUGAAUCUUUGGAUGCAAGGGCCAAAACUGUGGUUGCCCUAUCCUGAGCCGACACACCUGUGGUGGUACCAUAUUUGGCAUCCUACAAAAUUGCAUUGAUAAGUUCCUGAGUUGCAUAGGAACAAAAUUUCCACCACAAAAUUAUAUUUUAUUAAAUUUCAAUAACUGUUUAUGACAUGACACUUUUUUAUUUUUUUUAAAACAUGACAUGAUGCUAUUCUAGUAUAUAAUAAGUAAAUUUCUGUUACGUACUGGGAGACAAAAGAUAUUAAAUGCAACAAAGUGAAGUCACGCUGAUUUUUUGUCGAACUUAACGCCUACACAAGUGCAGCUCAGGCGAGAUAAAUUAUUCCCUAAAGUUGACCAUCGCAUGAAGGUGCGUAAAUAUAGUGUUUUAGAUGAUGUAAGAAUGGAAGAGUUUUGAUCAGAUAGAUACAGAACUACCUCCAGAUAAAAAAAUGCACGCACCAAAUUGUACAUACCACUGUCACAGUGAAUGCUGUACGGAGUUUCUCAUCAUUAUCCCGACUGUUGACCAUCAAAGGAAGCUCUAAUCUCUCCAGGUCUUCCUCUUUCAUGCUUAUACAAACUAUGCCAGUUCCAUGCUUCACAAUAAAAGCCAUAGCCUCAGGUGUUGCCAACUGUGCUGCCAUUAUUAGAUCUCCUUCAUUUUCUCUGUCCUCGUCAUCUACAACCACUACCAUCUGAAGUACUAAUGUCAGUUAAUAACGGAAAUCUAAGUGGAGGCAACACAAAACCAAAACUUUUAAAUAGAAAUACCCGCAGAGAGAAAGAUUAACGACCUUUCCAUUCCGGAUAUCUUCGAUGGCCUCUGGUAUGGAAGCAAAACCUUUUGUUGGACUGUCCGAAUCAAAGUCAUCGUUAUCAUCAGAAAAACCACUGCCUGUUAGAGUUGUAUCUGCUCCCAAUGUUCCAAGCGCUACUGCAUUAGGUUGUGCUGAUUCAACGCCAACCAGAUCUUCAUUUUUUAGGUCUCCUCCUCCAGAGGUCAAUGCAGCAUUGCGACAAGAAGGGAAUUUUGAGCUCAGCCGAACAAAUGCAAAAUCUGAGCCACGCACAUUAAUCAUCGACGGACUUAAACUGUUAAACCCAUUGAGCAAUUUGAAAUUUUUGCAUGCCCUAUAUUGAACAAAAAGAGACAAAAGCUACUGUUAAUAGCUGUGAUAUCCAAACAUAAUUCCUACAAAAAAAAUUACAAAAAUCAGAAUUUAUUAUCACAGAAAGACACAAUGUGCAUCUAUUUUCUGUGUAGUACCGACACUUCUGAUCGAAGACGUGUCCAACGUCCGACAUGUGUCUAUGUUCGACACUGACAUGUUAGUGUCAAUGUCAUGUUCGGUAUCUGUGUUUGUGUUAGUGCUGCAAAGUCUAUUCGGAUACAACCCAUCUCCAAAAAAGAAAAUUGGGAUAAGGAAAGUUUAGGUAAAGCUUUGGCAAGACAUGAAAGCUAAACAUAUUAAAAAUAUAACAAAACGGAUAAGAUUAGAGGAACAAAGUUGUGGUAAAGAAAUUUUCUUUUGAUUGAGUCACAAAUACAAUUACGUGGUCAACUAUAUUGAUUUAAGAAAUGUAGAGCUUUAUUCAUAAAAUAAGCUAAGAUAAAAAAAAUUAAGAUAUACUUAUAAUCCAGCAUAACUAAAAAUUAAGAUAAUCUGGAUUAGUUUUCUUUGAGUAAGAAUUAGGUUCAAAAUUAAAGCAGUUAAAAAAUUGGGAUUGAAAUAGAACCUAACAAAGCGGUUUCAGAAGGUGAAGAGAAGGAAGAAAGUGGGAAAUUGAGAAGGUGAAACUUACCGUGGACGCGAGAGAGAGGGUGUGGAGAGAUUGAGAGAAGAAGCCAUUG